ACGCAACUGGCGGCGGAAGAAAUCCGCCGCUUCGGCCUGCACCCGAAGGUGGCGCUGAUGUCGCACUCGAUGUUCGGUUCGUCGACGCGUCC
rnacentral:tRNA from 1 species